GCUCUCCUCUGGUGACUUUUGCACUUGGAGGCGUGUUGUUAUCUUUGGUUAUCUAGCUGUAUGAGUGUGCUGGCCGUCAUAAAGCUAGAUAACCGAAAGUAAGAGCCGCUUCUAUCAGCAACGUAUGGAGCAUUGC
ensembl:miRNA mir9-2 microRNA 9-2